AAACAGGAAGGGCCCUCUUUUCCCCUCCGCUCCUGCUCCAGCGGCAGGAUGUGAUCCACUGGCCAGGAGGGAUGCCAACAAGGCGUCCCAUCAGGCAAAUGGAUGGAACUAGAAGAAACCAUCAUGAGUGAGGUAACCCAGUCACAAAGAAGACAAACAUGGUUGUUAACGACUGGGGGAAAUUGUCCGCAACUCCAUUAUUGAUACUGUGCUCACCCCUAAAAUGAUCUUCAUCAGAAAUUCUUGGAAGUGGAACAUCAAGACAAAGAUAGUGACGGUGAUGACUGGAGCUCGUGUGUGCCGAGUGCUGCUAAAACAACAAGGAGUCCAUUCCUUGCUCCCCCUUCCAUCCCCGCCAGAGAGCCAACCCCUGUGCUUUACUUCUGAGAACAAACCGCAACAAAUCUUAUCUAUGAAAAUUCGGUUUGACCACAGCAACAACUGACCUGAGCAAGGGGGAGCUCUUGGUCCCCAGACUGAUAGCUGGGAAACCAGCAUGAGACUGAGGCAGACCCCGUGAACGUGGGUCUCAGUGAGGAGACCUAGGAAAUCUUUGGGAACUCAUUCCACAUAGAGGGAUACUCCUUUAGCCUAGACAACUGGGGCUGGGCCUAGGCCCUAUCCCAAAGGAUAUGACAGACUCUGAAGACCCUCUAUGGAAGGCCUCACCCUCCUUGGGGAGCAGAAAGGGUAUGGUAUAGGUAGGGUGUUAGUUGGG
ensembl:lncRNA